rnacentral:rRNA from 1 species
UGCGUAGGCGGCGGCAUAAGUCAGAAGUGAAAGUUGGCAGCUUAACUGCAAAAUUGCUUUUGAUACUGUGUUGCUUGAAUCACGUUGAGGCUGGCGGAAUGUGGCAUGUAGCGGUGAAAUGCUUAGAUAUGCCAUAGAACACCAAUUGCGAAGGCAGCUGGCUAGACGUGUAUUGACGCUGAGGCACGAAAGCGUGGGGAGCGAACAGGAUUAGAUACCCUGGUAGUC